rnacentral:rRNA from 1 species
ACAACAUUCGGAAACGGAUGCUAAUACCCCAUAGGUGGAUUGGUCGCAUGACGAAUUCAUUAAAGGUGGCUUUGCUACCACUCAUGGAUAGCCUCGCGGCGUAUUAGCUAGUUGGUAAGGUAAUGGCUUACCAAGGCAUUGAUACGUAGCCGACUUGAGAGGGUGAUCGGCCACACUGGGACUGAGACACGGCCCAGACUCCUACGGGAGGCAGCAGUAGGGAAUCUUCCACAAUGGGUGCAAACCUGAUGGAGCAAUGCCGCGUGAGUGAAGAAGG